rnacentral:rRNA from 1 species
UACGUAGGGGGCAAGCGUUGUCCGGAAUCAUUGGGCGUAAAGCGCGUGUAGGCGGCCCGGUAAGUCCGCUGUGAAAGUCCAGGGCUCAACCCUGGAAUGCCGGUGGAUACUGUCGGGCUCGAGUCCGGAAGAGGUGAGUGGAAUUCCUAGUGUAGCGGUGAAAUGCGCAGAUAUCGGGAGGAACACCAGUAGCGAAGGCGGCUCGCUGGGCCGUUCCUGACGCUGAGGCGCGAAAGCUAGGGGAGCAAACGGG